rnacentral:lncRNA from 1 species
UUACAUGUGGCACCGCCCCACCAUCCGUCAGCCAUCUACCAGGCUCCUAUUUCGCGCGUGGUGGCCGCGCCCCUCACCCUAGGUAACUACAGCAAAUUCCCUCCUCCCCGCUCAUUCCACUGCCCCUCUCUCAUGAAUCUACCUCCACGCACGAAGGGGCGAGCUGCUCAUGGCCGACUCCUCCGUAUUCCAUGGCGAGCAUGAAGGCAGCCGGUGCUACUUUGACGCUACAGUGCAGCUACAGCCUAACUACACUACUAAUUCUUUUAACUUCUCCUAACUUCUAAUUUACUGUUAACUUCUUAAAUGAUGUUAACUUCAAAUUUGUUAUUAACCGGUGAUGUUGCUUGUUGUUAACUGCUCUGCUUUGUUUUGUUAACUGAUGUUCGGGUCAAGGGUGUGCGCAUGAGCUUGUGUUUGAUGUUUCAGCCAUUGUCUCUUCUCAAAACUGGUGGUGCGUGCACUGCUCAUAGUGGUGAUUACGAGAUUGGGGCAAGGAGCAAAGACAUACAAAGACAGCAGUUAACUUCAGUUAAGUUUUUUACAUUCAUGAAGAAUACAAAGAUGGGAAAAAAGAACAGUUAACUUCAAUAACUUUCUUUUAUUAAAGUUCUGCAGUUUUUAACGUGGUUCAGGUAACUUCCCAUUUUUUGGUUGGUUUACUUAACUUGUUUAGCUUUUAUCGCCACCACUAAAUCUACUACGAACACGAGUGGCUUGUGGUGGUCCUGCUUGAGAAGAAACAAGUGUGCAGAGGGUGAGAGGGAGUUAACAAGGUUGUAGGAGCUCAUGCUACAUGUGUUCAAAGCUACAUGGAGAAGUGGUUCUUCUCUACCCUGGUUUCCUUCCCCGUCUCCUGCUGUGGACUAUGCUCCAUCAACGGCAGCGCCCGCUCCAUGUUGCCCGCGACUGCAGUUAACUCCGAGUGCACUGUGCUGCCCAUCCCAAGCUCCCGCUUCAACGAGACUACAUGGGAGAUGGGAGAGGGCCGGUGGUGCCUGCAAAUUCGCUGCGCAGUAAUAUACUAGGUGUGGAUGUAGUUAGCUCGUCCCUCAUGUGAUAAGAGCAAAACAUAGUGCGUUUUUGCAGUUAUCUGUACUCAAACAUAAUAAUUCACUUUUUGAGAUGUGGCAGUUCUUUUGCACUUAUUUAUGAAAAAAAUACACAUAAAUUAUGUCAGUUAACUCUGCAAUUUGCAGCAGUUAUCUGAAGCCGAUCAGAACCCUGGUUCGAUGGUGAUCGAUCACCUCCCUGAAGAUUGAGUGAGGUUAAG